CAUAUUAACCACAGUACAGUUUGUCGUGUAUUGAUUGAAGUUAAGCUUUAUAACUUCAGAUAUAAAAUGGCGGACUCUAGUUCAGACGUAAUAUACGAUUAUUGCUGCAAUGUCUGCGAGGAAGACAAUGUCAACAAGGAGGUAUUGUUCUACUGUCAGCAAUGUUCGACGGAUACUGUGAUAAAUGUAUUGAAAACCACAAUGGCCUAUUUAAGAAACACAAAUCGUUUGGAUGAAAUGAAUUGGAUAAGUGGCCUGCUGUCAAGACAGCAUUGGAUCUCCUGCAGAACUGUCAACAACACCCCGAUCAUCGCAUUGAGCUAUACUGUGAAGACCAUGGAAAAUUGUGUUGUCUUCUGUGUCACCUUUACGAUCAUAAAAAAUGCAACAAGAUAGUGCAGACAGCGUAAAAGGCAAAUACGAUGAAUCAGUCAGAUUUUCAGCGAUUAGCCACAACCCUUGUCUCGGAACAGCAGAAAGUGGGUACACAAAUCGACAUGGCUAACGAAUGCAUGCAGAAACUGCAAGAGGCACGUGGCAGAGCGCAUACAGAAAUUCAACUAUUCCGCAUGAAAAUGAACGACUUGUUGGACCAUCGGGAGGGAAAUACUAUACAGUCUCUGGACACGCUGCUUAUUACAUUAAGAAACCCUUUAAAAUCCGGCAUAUGGAAAUGCUCAAAGCUUAAGGAAGACUUCAAAAGUAUGCAGGAAGCAAUUAAAGAUUUCGACUGUGGCAGGCCCAACGUAAAUAUAUUUAUUGCACAUUCUAAACUCACCGAAAUGAUUUCAAACAAGCACACAAUAUUAAAGGAAUUAUCUGCCAACCGAAAUGUUGAUAUGACUUUUGAAGGUAAUCCCGAUGUUGAGAAACUUUUAUCAGGCCUCGGUGUCCUGGGUAAUGUAGAAGGUUUAAAUCGAAAUUUAGAAAUAUGUUUGUCGGGCGAGAUAUUUCAUUGUAAAGAUAAAAUGCUUCUCAGUGUCAAACUGCCAUCAGAUAGAGGAACCUGUGAUAUAAGUGGCAUAAUUGAACUUUCUAGUGGAGAGCUCCUUUUGGCGCAUUAUGAAAACAUCAAAAUGAAGCUGAUUGAUAUGCAAUACAAAGUUGUCGCUCACACAGACCUAUCAAGCCAGCCAAAAGACAUGUGCAGUUUCAGUCCUACUGAGUUCGCUGUUACAUAUCGUGAAGCAAGCAUGAUCCAGUUCCUCACUGUCAACAAGUAAUGUUAGGCAGGACACUUACAUUUUAACAUAAAUGUAACGGAAUCGCAUAUUCUAAAGGGACUGUGUUUGUUUCAUCAGGUAAAGCCUUUUACCAAUACAGAUUGGAUGGUCAGGUAGUAAAGAAGAUCUACGAAGAUAUUUCAGAAGGAUUCACAGUGUACAAGUGUACAGUGAGUGGAUUACGGCUGUAUGUGACCAGCUUCCAUCACAGCACUCAUUACCAUGCCUAUGGAUGGGAAUGUCCUAUCAACCUUGGAAAAUCCUACACUUUGUGGUCCUUCAGCUGUACACGUGUCAGAUUCAGGUCAGCUGCUGGCUUGUGGAUAAUAUUCAAACAACUUGGUACGAGUCGAUGGUGAGCGAGGAAGUGGUAAAGCUGGCUUCCGAGAAGGAUGGUUAGUUUCGUCCAGAUUCUGUAUUCUACAGUGCAUGUACUGGCAGGCUGAUUGUUGGGCACAAAAGUGACACUAUACUGGUGAUACGCACAGCGUGUGUAAUGUGUAAUACUGUUAUACAUGAACUAACUUUCACC